CUGGGCUCAAAAAGGGAAGUAAGAGAGCAGUGGAGGGCUAUAGGGGAAUCAGCCUACUCAACUCUUCAUACCAGAUUUAUGCGAAGAUAAGAUACUGCUGGGAAGAUUGGAGGAGGAGAUCAAGUUUUAGGAAGUGUAGAGGGGCGAUCGAUAACGUUUGCAUCUUAAAAUAUCUGGUCGAUAGAGAGUUGGAUAAGAAGGACGAGAAGUUGAAUGCCCUAUUCAUAGGAGUGAGGAAGGGGUUGAUUUCUAUUUUUUAAAUUUGUUAUCUGAGAGAGAUCGUAACGCCAAUAAAGACAGAUAUCAAACUGAACAAAAAAAAACUAUUAUGUUUACGUUAAGAAACUACUAAAGAUUUAAGUCGUCGAAAAUAAUCGAUAGAUUCUCAAUUAAAAUGAAAGUAUCGGUGUUAUCGCGUAAUUUUGAUUCUUCAUCUGACUCUUAAGUUAUCUUAAAUUAUUGACAUCAAAAUUAACAGUAAAAUUCCCACUUAUCUGAUAAAUAACUUUUAUGUUAUGGUGAAACUCAAUUUGAUCCAAGGUCUCUAUUGGAUUGGAAGGUCCUUCUUAGGAAUGGAAAAUGGACAGCUGCGGUUCAGAUAAUUAUUCUUCUUUGGAUCUGGUGUGUGAUAACUGCCCUCAGAAAAUUUUCAGGAAUACAGGUAAUUUCUCCUCAAUUUAUUUUAAAAUAAUGUUUAAAUUUAAUUUUUCUUCUUUUCCCUUUUAGGUUAAUAAAAUCUUAAUUCGGUGUUAAAUUUGGAUUGAAUCAGAGAUUGAAUUAUCGGAUUUAAGCCGUUAAUUGGAGGUUUUAAGAUUCUCCAACCACAAAAGAAGUUUGAAUUUUACAAAUUUUAAAUCCAAUUUUAAAGGUCAAAAUCGUUCAAAAUCUUCUUGAUUCUAAUAAAUUAGAUGUAACUGACACUGAUCUUCCCGUUUUGGAUGGUUUAAAAAGGAUAUUAACAGUUUUAAGAGAAUUAUGAGCAACUAAAAAGUAACUGUCAAGUGAAUUGAGGUUAUGUUUCUCUCUCAGGUAAAACCUGACUUGGAAGCUUUAUUACAAUAUGUUGAGGGGAUGUAGAGAGCUGAGAGAAGAAGAAAGGAACCGGUGGUAGAUUCUGGAAGAGGGGGAAGAAGGCAAGGUAUCGUAAUCAUGUAUUGUACAGAAAAUUGUAAACUUUUAGUUAACAAUAAAAACUCUUGUAUGUAUAAUUUA